AUUGAACGCUGGCGGCAGGCUUAACACAUGCAAGUCGAACGAGUGGCGGACGGGUGAGUAAUGCUUGGGAAUCUAGCUUAUGGAGGGGGAUAACUACGGGAAACUGUAGCUAAUACCGCGUACCAUAGGAUGAGCCCAAGUGGGAUUAGCUAGUUGGUGGGGUAAUGGCUCACCAAGGCGACGAUCUCUAGCUGGUUUGAGAGGAUGAUCAGCCCAACUGGGACUGGGACCCGGGCCCGACUCCUUCGGGAGGGAGCAGUGGGGAAUUUUUGAAAAAGGGGCAAAGCCUGAUCCAGCAAUACCGGGUGUGUGAAGAAGGCCCUAGGGUUGUAAAGCACUUUUGUUAGGGAGAUGUUUCCUAAAGAAUAAGCACCGGCUAACUCCGUGCCAGCAGCCGCGGUAAUAC
rnacentral:rRNA from 1 species